rnacentral:rRNA from 1 species
GACGAACGCUGGCGGCGUGCCUAAUACAUGCAAGUAGAACGCUGAAGAGAGGAGCUUGCUCUUCUUGGAUGAGUUGCGAACGGGUGAGUAACGUGUAGGUAACCUGCCUUGUAGCGGGGGAUAACUAUUGGAAACGAUAGCUAAUACCGCAUAACAAUGGAUGACACAUGUCAUUUAUUUGAAAGGGGCAAUUGCUCCACUACAAGAUGGACCUGCGUUGUAUUAGCUAGUAGGUGAGGUAAUGGCUCACCUAGGCGACGAUACAUAGCCGACCUGAGAGGGUGAUCGGCCACACUGGGACUGAGACACGGCCCAGACUCCUACGGGAGGCAGCAGUAGGGAAUCUUCGGCAAUGGGGGCAACCCUGACCGAGCAACGCCGCGUGAGUGAAGAAGGUUUUCGGAUCGUAAAGCUCUGUUGUAAGUCAAGAACGGGUGUGAGAGUGGAAAGUUCACACUGUGACGGUAGCUUACCAGAAAGGGACGGCUAACUACGUG